rnacentral:rRNA from 1 species
AAGUAACUAACAAGGAUUCCCCUAGUAACUGCGAGUGAAGCGGGAAAAGCUCAAAUUUAAAAUCUGGCAGUCUUUGGCUGUCCGAAUUGUAUUCUGGAGAAGCGUUUUCCGCGCUGGACCGUGUACAAGUCUCUUGGAAUAGAGCGUCAUAGAGGGUGAGAAUCCCGUCUUUGACACGGACUACCAGUGCUUUGUGAUGCGCUCUCAAAGAGUCGAGUUGUUUGGGAAUGCAGCUCAAAAUGGGUGGUGAAUUCCAUCUAAAGCUAAAUAUUGGCGAGAGACCGAUAGCGAACAAGUACCGUGAGGGAAAGAUGAAAAGCACUUUGGAAAGAGAGUUAAACAGUACGUGAAAUUGCUGAAAGGGAAACGCUUGAAGUCAGUCGCGUCAUUCAGAACUCAGCCCGGCUUUUGCUUGGUGUAUUUUCUGGUUGACGGGCCAGCAUCAAUUUUGACCGCUGGAAAAAGGCCAUAGGAAUGUGGCACCCUCGGGUGUGUUAUAGCCUAUGGUCAUAUACAGCGGUUGGGAUUGAGGACCGCAGCACGCCUUUAUGGUUGGGGUUCGCCCACAUUCGUGCUUAGGAUGCUGGCGUAAUGGCUUUAAACGACCCGUCUUGAAACACGGACCAAGGAGUCUAACAUGCCUGCGAGUGUUUGGGUGGAAAACCCGAGCGCACAAUGAAAGUGAAAGUUGGGAUCCCUGUCGUGGGGAGCACCGACGCCCGGACCAGACCUUUUGUGACGGAUCCGCGGUAGAGCAUGUAUGUUGGGACCCGAAAGAUGGUGAACUAUGCCUGAAUAGGGUGAAGCCAGAGGAAACUCUGGUGGAGGCUCGUAGCGAUUCUGACGUGCAAAUC